AAUUUCAUUCCAUCUCUUUGUUUUUUAAUCCCUCAUGGAACACCUUUGUUCUGUAGUUUCUCUUUUAAUGAUCCAUUUUCCUUCCAAUGGACUUUUAUUUUGAAGACCAUUUAUAGCUCUUGUUUGAGUGGAAUGUUUCCUGUUGGUUUCUUAGAGGUUAGGAGUUGUUUAAAAAUCAGACAGAGGGAAGAGCAGCUGAGAUGGCGGAGAGUAAAGCCUGCACUCUUCAGAGGAGGAGAAAAAGUAUGGACGAACCUCCAAGUAUGAAACCUUCUUUGAAUCACGCAAUAAACUAAUACUGAUCUUUAUUAAAGUG